rnacentral:lncRNA from 1 species
UUUUUAUUUACAUUAGGAAAUUAAAGUAUUAAUUUAAUUGAUGUUAACCCACGGUUUUAUUUUAUACAUUCUAUAGAGUUUCAGCAUUUCUGACAAGAACAAAAGUUUCAGACUUGAUACGGGACGACUUAUGUUGUUGCUAAAGCAAUAACCAUACUCCAUAAUCUAUAUAAUAUUUCGAAGAACUUGCAUUAACAAGACAUAAAAAUGGACAUUUAAGCUGUUCGGGCAAACACCGAGAAUUAUAAGAUACAUGGGGUGUUAUGUUUGUUUGGUCAUUUGUUUAGCAAGCCCGACAGAAGACAGCAAACAACUGGAGUUUGCCCGAUAAAUAUCACCACAACUGUAUAUACAUUAAACAGAACUGCUAUUGUAAGUUAGGGUUGAACCCUACUACUCUGAGUUGGUCUUAACCGAAGCUGCAGCAACAGUCGAGACCAUGGAGUCCACGCCACAGAUGUUUCGGCCCCUGCAGAUUUUGUAGAAUCCACUCUCUCCCCAGUUCUCUCCCCAUGAGUUCUUAAUAAUCCAGUAUGGCUUCUCCUUCAAUCUGAUGGGAGAAUACCCAGCUGCACCAUAACCUACGAGUAACACUCCGUGAUCCAACCGCUUUGAGCAUAUGUAGGGGCAUGACACUCCACCAACAUAUGUUUGCAUGAACACCGCAUUAAUAGCCACUGCAUUCGAGCAAUGUAAAAUUAUUAGCACCAGCCAAUCCUAUUAGAGCUUAUACCACAUUUGAGAAGAAGCAACGCUCUCAAGGGAGAUACAAAUAACAAAUAAUUUUUUUAACAGAAACAAAGGAAGAAUCAAAAUCACAUAUUUUUAAAGGUAAUUACCAGCAAGAGGGCCAUUUUUGACAAGGUUUGCAGCAAUUUGGUCUUCAUCAAGGGAGAUGACGCUGAAAUUGGAAACUGAUGCAGCAAUUUUGCUCUUGUCAAAUUUGCAGGUUCCACGAUCAGUACCAGUGUAUGGAUAAUCCUCUUCCUUCAUUAGUCCACCAGCUUUGA